rnacentral:rRNA from 1 species
UACAGAGGGUGCAAGCGUUGUUCGGAAUUAUUGGGCGUAAAGCGCGUGUAGGCGGCUUUGCAAGUCGGGUGUGAAAGCCCUGGGCUCAACCUAGGAAGUGCAUUCGAAACUUCGAGACUCGAGUCUGGAGAGGAUCGCGGAAUUCUCGGUGUGAGAGGUGAAAUUCGUAGAUAUCGAGAGGAACACCGGUGGCGAAGGCGGCGAU